rnacentral:lncRNA from 1 species
GCAGUCGAUGCUGAGGAAGGAAGGCAAUCCCAUGCCAACUGUUGUACCAGAAGUGGUCACUCCAGUGAACAUGCCUGACCCUCUUCCACCUCAGGAAAAGCCUCGUGGAUUUCAUCCACAUCCUGUGCCUCCAAGGGCUCCGUAUCAGCGGCCAUUUCCUGUUCCCCGACCAAGGCAAAGGAACCCUGUGCCGAACCAGUAUCCAAAUCAGCAAUGGAACUUCGCUCAACAAAGAAGAGAGGGACCAAGAAGGCCUCCAAAG